rnacentral:rRNA from 1 species
GCCCAGACUCCUACGGGAGGCAGCAGUGAGGAAUAUUGGUCAAUGGUCGGGAGACUGAACCAGCCAAGCCGCGUGAGGGAGGAAGGUACAGAGUAUCGUAAACCUCUUUUGUCAGGGAACAAAGACUGGGACGCGUCCCCGGAUGAGUGUACCUGAAGAAAAAGCAUCGGCUAACUCCGUGCCAGCAGCCGCGGUAAUACGGAGGAUGCGAGCGUUAUCCGGAUUUAUUGGGUUUAAAGGGUGCGCAGGCGGGGGUGCAAGUCCGCGGUAAAAUGGGGGGGCCCACCCCCGGCCCGCCGUUGAAACUGGCAGUCUCGAGUUGGAGAGAAGUAUGCGGAAUGCGCGGUGUAGCGGUGAAAUGCAUAGAUAUCGCGCAGAACUCCGAUUGCGAAGGCAGCAUGCCGGCUCCACACUGACGCUGAGGCACGAAAGCGUGGGUAUCGAACAGGAUUAGAUACCCGCGUA